AUGUACAACAUGAGCGUGGAGCGCAUUAGACGAGGAGAGGCAGGGACAGCUGCCUCCCUAACUGUUACCACAGUGCCGGGCCGUGUGCGUGGUGUAAAUGUGGUUAGUGUGUCUGCUCAGAACUUCUCUCUGCGUUGGGAGCAGUCAGAGGGGUGUGUGGACCAGUACCUCGUCAGCCUGCUUCCCAACCAAGGAACUGUCUCUGUCUACCGCACAGUCGACAGACUCGUACAGGCUGACGUAUCCAGUCUGAGUCCUCGAACAGUGUUUACGGUCAUGGUGACCGCCGCCUCCUCCUCCAACCUCAGCCCACCGGUCAGCCGUAUAAUCAACACCAACAAGACCGGUGAGAUGUGUUACAGCUGAAAUGAUAGUGGUCUGCUCUGAGGAAACAUUGGGUCUGUUCUGCUGCUGCCCUCUGCUGAUAAUGGCUGCUAAUGUUUAUUAUCUCCCACCCUGUGUGUGUGUGUGCGUUCAGUGUGUAGGUGUGUGUGUGUUUGUAGGUGUGUGUAGGUUUAUGUGCGUGCGGUGUGUAGGUGUGUGUGUGUUUGUAGGUAGGUGUGUGCACGUUUGUGUGUGUGUGUGUGUGGUAACACUAGCCUUGCUAAGUAGAAUGAAUGAUGCUGUAGUGAAUGUCAGUGAAAUGCCAUAGCUCUGAGCAUCUAUUCACCGGAAAAGAGCAAGCUGGUCACACACACCAAUAACCCCCCCCCCCCCCCCCCACACACACACACACACACACACACAUACAUACAGUGCCUUGCGAACGUAUUCGGCCCCCUUGAACUUUGCGACCUUUUGCCACAUUUCAGGCUUCAAACAUAAAGAUAUAAAACUGUAUUUUUUUGUGAAGAAUCAACAACAAGUGGGACACAAUCAUGAAGUGGAACGACAUUUCUUGGAUAUUUCAAACUUUUUUAACAAAUCAAAAACUGAAAAAUUGGGCGUGCAAAAUUAUUCAGCCCCCUUAAGUUAAUACUUUGUAGCGCCACCUUUUGCUGCGAUUACAGCUGUAAGUCGCUUGGGGUAUGUCUCUAUCAGUUUUGCACAUCGAGAGACUGAAUUUUUUUCCCAUUCCUCCUUGCAAAACAGCUCGAGCUCAGUGAGGUUGGAUGGAGAGCAUUUGUGAACAGCAGUUUUCAGUUCUUUCCACAGAUUCUCGAUUGGAUUCAGGUCUGGACUUUGACUUGGCCAUUCUAACACCUGGAUAUGUUUAUUUUUUAACCAUUCCAUUGUAGAUUUUGCUUUAUGUUUUGGAUCAUUGUCUUGUUGGAAGACAAAUCUCUGUCCCAGUCUUUUGCAGACUCCAUCAGGUUUUCUUCCAGAAUGGUCCUGUAUUUGGCUCCAUCCAUCUUCCCAUCAAUUUUAACCAUCUUCCCUGUCCCUGCUGAAGAAAAGCAGGCCCAAACCAUGAUGCUGCCACCACUAUGUUUGACAGUGGGGAUGGUGUGUUCAGGGUGAUGAGCUGUGUUGCUUUUACGCCAAACAUAACGUUUUGCAUUGUUGCCAAAAAGUUCAAUUUUGGUUUCAUCUGACCAGAGCACCUUCUUCCACAUGUUUGGUGUGUCUCCCAGGUGGCUUGUGGCAAACUUUAAACGACACUUUUUAUGGAUAUCUUUAAGAAAUGGCUUUCUUCUUGCCACUCUUCCAUAAAGGCCAGAUUUGUGCAAUAUACGACUGAUUGUUGUCCUAUGGACAGAGUCUCCCACCUCAGCUGUAGAUCUCUGCAGUUCAUCCAGAGUGAUCAUGGGCCUCUUGGCUGCAUCUCUGAUCAGUCUUCUCCUUGUAUGAGCUGAAAGUUUAGAGGGACGGCCAGGUCUUGGUAGAUUUGCAGUGGUCUGAUACUCCUUCCAUUUCAAUAUUAUCGCUUGUACAGUGUUCCUUGGGAUGUUUAAAGCUUGGGAAAUCUUUUUGUAUCCAAAUCCGGCUUUAAACUUCUUCACAACAGUAUCUCGGACCUGCCUGGUGUGUUCCUUGUUCUUCAUGAUGCUCUCUGCGCUUUUAACGGACCUCUGAGACUAUCACAGUGCAGGUGCAUUUAUACGGAGACUUGAUUACACACAGGUGGAUUGUAUUUAUCAUCAUUAGUCAUUUAGGUCAACAUUGGAUCAUUCAGAGAUUCUCACUGAACUUCUGGAGAGAGUUUGCUGCCCUGAAAGUAAAGGGGCUGAUUUUGCACGCCCAAUUUUUCAGUUUUUGAUUUGUUAAAAAAGUUUGAAAUAUCCAAUAAAUGGCGUUCCACUUCAUGAUUGUGUCCCACUUGUUGUUGAUUCUUCACAAAAAAAUACAGUUUUAUAUCUUUAUGUUUGAAGCCUGAAAUGUGGCAAAAGGUCGCAAAGUUCAAGUGGGCCGAAUACUUUCGCAAGGCACUGUACAUACAAACACCCAGCUGGUUGACCCAAUAGCAAACAACAACAGUAUCUUUCACAAUGUCUCUCACCAUCCUCCCAAUUUGUUGACAGGACUUCCUAGUUUUGGCAGUAUGUACUGAUAAGUAUGGAUUGGAUUCUUUCUAAUGUCACAUAUAUCAGAUU
rnacentral:lncRNA from 1 species